rnacentral:lncRNA from 1 species
AUAAUACACUUGUUUUUGUAAUUUUACUGUCAAUAAAGUCGUUUUUUCUCUCUCUCUUCAUAUUCCUUCACCAGUGCUGCCCCCUCCUGGUGAAUCCAUGUCCGCUGCUGACAUCGUAUUUGACAUAAGUAUUGUGUCUCUGAGCUGUAGUUGUCCUCAGUGGAUGACAGGACCACAGACAUCAGAGUGACCUGGGGGUGUGACGGUGAAACAAGCUCAUCAAGAGUGAAAGGUGGCAUCAUCUUAAAAUAAGCAGUCUCAAACCUGAUGAAAAGUACCAGUUCAACAUGGCUACAGAGGGAGAAGACAGAAGCCAAAGCAGAUGGAGCUCAGCAUCCCUAUCCACAGGUACAGUAGGCCUCAGCAUCCCUAUCCACAGGUACAGUAGGCCUCAGCAUCCCUAUCCACAGGUACAGUAGGCCUCAGCAUCCCUAUCCACAGGUACAGUAGGCUAACUUGUGUUUUUAUCCAGACUACAUCAGUCAUUCAUUACUAGAGACAUGUUUGGACUCUGUCAAAAACACAACCUCUAUUCUAAACAAAUAUUGKUUUUUGUUUCAGUGGUCCCACCCAGAGUUUUAAAGAUAGACCAUUUGGAAGAGACCUCCUUCACUCUCCACUGGUCCAAGGCUGAAGGGAUGGAGAAAGUCCCACAGCGCUUCUUCAUAUCCAACUGCAUCCCAGGAAUAGACCCCCUCACAGCCGUUACUGACGACUGCCACAAAACUUUCUCAAACCUGCAUCCUGGCACCGAGUACACUGUUAGUGUUGCAACUGUGCUGAGCAAUGGGGAACAGAGUGAACCUGUCUCUACAACAYUCUGCACUAUACUUCCUGCUCCAGACCAGCUGACUGUUGACUCAGUGGACACCACAUCAGCUGAUGUUAGCUGGAUCCAGCCACAGGAUUGGGCCAAACCCAACAUCAUUACCAGAUCUCCUACCCUGUCCAGGGACAGAAGUACACAUCACUACCACAUCUUCACCCAGCAUCACUCUCUCUGACCUGCAAUGUGCUACUCAGUACUCUGUCACUGUCUGCACUGUGCUGGAAAAUGGAAAGCAAAGUCAACUGGUGUCCACAACCUUCACCACAAGUAAGGAAGUACACUACUUAAGUAUUGUGCCUGGUGUUAAAGUUAAUUAAACUUUUAUUAAAGUCAUGAAUGUGUUGCGAUGUUCAUGCUUGUUUCUGUUCCUGUGAGUCAUUAUGUCACGGAGUUGAUCUGCCUCUGAUUGCUUUAACUUUAUCAGCACUACAGUGUAAACACUUGUUAUGUGGGAGAGGAUUUAUAAUGCAUUCAGAAAAUAUUCAGACACCUGA